AUCCAGCUGACGAGUCUCAAAUAGGACGAAACGUGCGUUAUGCAU
rnacentral:hammerhead_ribozyme from 1 species